ACUCCUACGGGAGGCAGCAGUGGGGAAUUUUCCGCAAUGGGCGAAAGCCUGACGGAGCAAUACCGCGUGAGGGAGGAAGGCUCUUGGGUCGUAAACCUCUUUUCUCAGGGAAGAAUACAAUGACGGUACCUGAGGAAUAAGCAUCGGCUAACUCCGUGCCAGCAGCCGCGGUAAU
rnacentral:rRNA from 1 species